rnacentral:lncRNA from 1 species
CUUAUUUAAAUUUUAUUACCAUUUUGUAUACAUGUGAGCGGUGUGUGUGUCACAAGUGUGUGUGCCAUGUUGGAAGUAAGAAGACAACUUUCCAACAUCCUUCUCUUUCCACAGUGGGUUCCGGGGAGUGAUGUCUGGUGAUCAGGCUUGCACAGCAAACACAUGCACUUUUACUCAAGAGGCAUCUCACUAGGCUAGUUCUGGGAAUUCUGUUGAAGCUCUCAGAAAAAGGGAUACUCCUUAAACUGAUUUUCUAAACCAUUAGGCCUUAAAUUUGAAUCUAUGGGAAACCUUCUUGCCGCACCAAGAGACUAGAGCCCCUCUGUGGGUGAAGGCAACCGCAGAGCAGAGUACAAUCACAGAUGACGAAGUGCAGACAGGUGGUAUCUUUUGGCUCCUGCCAACGAUACCAAUCUACUCUGGCCUUUUCAAUUAUUUAAGUUGUAGUGAAGCUGGAUCGAUGCGAGCCUGGAUUGCUAGAGGAUAUUUGUGUGCAAGGUCUCAGCAGCACUUUUUGUACAUUCAGUUCUUCAUCCCUCUAACUUGCCCUGAAGCCUCUCUUGAAUUCCAAGCUCUAUGUCCACGUACCUUCUGAUGCCCCUUAAACAUGCUCAAAACUAACCUUACUAUUGCUGCCCCAACAUUAGUUUCCGUCUAAGGUGGAGCCCUCCAGGACCACCUUGGCCCUUUCCUCUGAAAAACCCAAGGUCGUAAGUUCAGGCUCCGCCCGCUCACUCGGCCUCCCAAGGUCACCGCUACAUCACUCGCCAGCUCCCUGGGGGCGGUGUCCGUGUACCCCUCGAUGCAGGGCCAGGCGCUCUAGGCUGCAGCCAGCUCUUCAAAGAGCUUUAUCAUCUCGCUGAUUUCUCUUAGUGGGCGGCUACUCUCUCCGCUCAUGUGGCUUCUCUAUGGUUAACUUCUCGCCUUUGUCUCGAAUUUGCUUCGGAUGACGCUCGGCUGGGACCCAACGCCUUCCCUUAGCUGCCUCAGUGGUUCCUUUUAGGUACAACUGCAGAAGCCACAGGAAGCUCAGUGAGAUCUUCGUUGGCCUAGGUCCUGAAAGCUCGGCGCUGAGAACGAUGGCGGAAGU